rnacentral:siRNA from 1 species
GUGGUGAGUUUAAUUUCAUUUGC